CAUUACAAGAACGCCCGGGCUUCGGCCUGGUUAUUCAUAACCCUUUGUUGUCCGACUCUGUUGCCUCCGGGGCGACCCUGCCUUCGGGCGGGGGCUCCGGGUGGACACUUCAAACUCUUGCGUAACUUUGCAGUCUGAGUAAACUUAAUUAAUAAAUUAAAACUUUUAACAACGGAUCUCUUGGUUCUGGCAUCGAUGAAGAACGCAGCGAAAUGCGAUAAGUAAUGUGAAUUGCAGAAUUCAGUGAAUCAUCGAAUCUUUGAACGCACAUUGCGCCCCCUGGUAUUCCGGGGGGCAUGCCUGUUCGAGCGUCAUUUCACCACUCAAGCCUCGCUUGGUAUUGGGCAACGCGGUCCGCCGCGUGCCUCAAAUCGUCCGGCUGGGUCUUCUGUCCCCUAAGCGUUGUGGAAACUAUUCGCUAAAGGGUGUUCGGGAGGCUACGCCGUAAAACAACCCCAUUUCUAAGGUUGACCUCGGAUCAGGUAGGGAUACCCGCUGAACUUAAGCAUAU
rnacentral:rRNA from 1 species